CGUGCGCACGCGCCGAAUCCCGUAAGGGAACCGGGGAACCACCACCUUGGGGUGAAUCACGCGGACACCGACGCGGACCCAGCGGUCCACGAGCGGUAUACGCGCGUAGGAGACCUUCCUGCUCCGAACCCGUCAGCUAACCCGGUAGGCGGAGGAAGGAAAGGAGCA
rnacentral:sRNA from 1 species